rnacentral:rRNA from 1 species
CAUGGAGGGUGAGAAUCCCGUCCGGCCAACUUUUUGACGCUUUACGAUACACUUUCAAAGAGUCGAGUUGUUUGGGAUUGCAGCUCAAAAUGGGAGGUAAAUUUCUCCUAAGGCUAAAUAUUGGCGAGAGACCGAUAGCGAACAAGUACUGUGAGGGAAAGAUGAAAAGAACUUUGAAAAGAGAGUAAAAUAGUACGUGAAAUUGUUGAAAGGGAAACGAUUGAAGUCAGUCGUACCGAUGAUAAAUCAGCUCCUCGAGUGCGAACUUGCGGGCGUGCGUGAGCUUUAAAACCUCGCUGUUUGCAACGUUUGUACUUUUUGGGUGUACUUUUUCGUAUGGUAGGCCAACGUCAGUUUCGAUUACCAUAAAAUGACCGGAGGAAUGUAGCUUCGAUCUCGUAUUGAAGUGUUAUAGCCCCUGGUAGAUGUGGUGACUGAAACUGAGGAUUGCAACGAAUACCUUUUGGGCUAUCCGUCUGAUCUCUGAAAGUUGCUUAGGUGCCGAAAGCAUGCUUACGGUUAUUUAAGUUGACGGUCAAUAGGUUAGAACGUGAUUACAUUCGUUAAGGAUGUUGACGUA